rnacentral:rRNA from 1 species
UACGAAGGGGGCUAGCGUUGUUCGGAAUUACUGGGCGUAAAGGGCGCGUAGGCGGCGUGUCAAGGCAGGCGUGAAAGCCCCGGGCUCAACCUGGGAACCGCGCUUGAGACUGGCAUGCUCGAGUUCGGGAGAGGAUGGUGGAAUUCCCAGUGUAGAGGUGAAAUUCGUAGAUAUUGGGAAGAACACCGAUGGCGAAGGCAGCCAUCUGGACCGACACUGACGCUGAGGCGCGAAAGCGUGGGGAGCAAACAGG